CAUUCCCUCCGCUUCUCUCUGUCUUUCCUUUUUCUCAAUCUUUCUUCUUUUUCUCUCAUAUUUUGGUUGAAAGCCUUAAAAACUGAAAGCUUCUAUGUCAGACGGUAAGAUGAGAUACAAAUGCAUGCAUCAAAAACAUCAAUGGCGGUUGCUAAUCAAAUAAAGGAUUUUAUCUUUCACAACAAAAACAUUACAGGAAGAGUUGGAUGAGAUAUCCUAAGGUUUGACGCAGGAAGGAAGAGUUAGAUGAUAUCGUAAGAUAUGACGCAGAGGAAUUAUUCGUUGGUGAAAAUAUGAAGCAAGCAAAUCUUGUCAGAUUUAUGAUGAUCAAGGGAGUAUGACAAACCAUGAAAGUAAAAAAAAAUAAUAUUCACAUUGUUUCUUUUUUAGUAAUAUAAUAAACAUUUUAGUCGUAUUUUAAUUUAGUGUUGAAAUUUUUUUUAAUAU